rnacentral:rRNA from 1 species
CCUACGGGGGGCUGCAGUGGGGAAUAUUGGACAAUGGGGGCAACCCUGAUCCAGCCAUGCCGCGUGUGUGAAGAAGGCCCUCGGGUUGUAAAGCACUUUCAGUGAGGAAGAACGCCUGGUGGUUAAUACCCAUCAGGAAAGACAUCACUCACAGAAGAAGCACCGGCUAACUCCGUGCCAGCAGCCGCGGUAAUACGGAGGGUGCGAGCGUUAAUCGGAAUUACUGGGCGUAAAGCGCGCGUAGGUGGCUUGAUAAGCCGGUUGUGAAAGCCCCGGGCUCAACCUGGGAACGGCAUCCGGAACUGUCAAUCUAGAGUGCAGGAGAGGAAGGUAGAAUUCCCGGUGUAGCGGUGAAAUGCGUAGAGAUCGGGAGGAAUACCAGUGGCGAAGGCGGCCUUCUGGACUGACACUGACACUGAGGUGCGAAAGCGUGGGUAGCAAACAGGAUUAGAUACCCUUGUAGUC